rnacentral:RNase_P_RNA from 1 species
GAUUGUGGAUAGACGGUCGCGGGUUACUUAUCGCUGCAAACAUAGUAGCGCGAGGAAAGUCCGGACACGGUAGGACACGGUGGUGGAUAACUUCCACCGACCUUUGAUCGCAAGGUUAGGGCUUAGUGCCACAGAGAGUAGACCGCCGAUGGAACACAUUGUGUUCACAGGUAAGGGUGAAAGGGUGCGGUAAGAGCGCACCGCUACUUCGGCGACGAAGUAGGCAAGGUAAACCCCACCGCGUGCAAGCGCAAGUAAGUUCUCGAUUCACUUUGUGGAUGUCCUUGUCCGAGGAAUGAGAACGGGUCGCGUGCAAAAGCGUGUUGGCAACAACACGCAUAGAUGAAUGGCCGUUCACGACAGAAUCCGGCUUAUCGUCCACAAGCGAUC